GUUUCUGUGGUGUAGUGGUUAUCACGUUUGCUUUACACGCAAAAGGUCUCCGGUUCAAUCCCGGGCAGAAACA
rnacentral:tRNA from 1 species